rnacentral:rRNA from 1 species
UGGGGAAUAUUGGACAAUGGGCGCAAGCCUGAUCCAGCAAUGCCGCGUGAGUGAAGAAGGCCUUCGGGUUGUAAAGCUCUUUUGUAGAGGAGGAAAAGCUUGGAGUUAAUAACUUCGAGCCAUGACGUUACUCUAAGAAUAAGCACCGGCUAACUCUGUGCCAGCAGCCGCGGUAAUACAGAGGGUGCGAGCGUUAAUCGGAAUGACUGGGCGUAAAGGGUGCGUAGGUGGUGAUUUAAGUGCGUUGUGAAAGCCCUGGGCUUAACCUGGGAACGGCAACGCAUACUGGGUCACUAGAGUAGUUGAGAGGGUAGUGGAAUUUCCGGUGUAGCGGUGAAAUGCGUAGAGAUCGGAAAGAACACCAGUGGCGAAGGCGACUACCUGGCAACAUACUGACACUGAGGCACGAAAGCGUGGGGAUCAAACAGG